UACAGAGGUCUCAAGCGUUGUUCGGAUUCAUUGGGCGUAAAGGGUGCGUAGGCGGCGCGGUAAGUCGGGUGUGAAAUCUUGGAGCUUAACUCCGAAACUGCAUUCGAUACUGCCGUGCUUGAGGACUGGAGAGGAGACUGGAAUUUACGGUGUAGCGGUGAAAUGCGUAGAUAUCAGGAGGAACACCAGCGGCGAAGGCGGCGCUCUGGGCCGGUACUGACACUGAGGAGCGAAAGCGUGGGUAGCAAACAGG
rnacentral:rRNA from 1 species